GGAAAAAAGUCUGGGAACCACUGAUCUAAUAGAAUACAGGAGAGCUGUAGGUCGUCCACUUCCAACAUAUAA